rnacentral:rRNA from 1 species
UGUUGGAGUGAUUUGUCUGGCUACUUCCGUUGACGAACGAGACCUUAACCUGCUAAUUAGUUACGCAUAGCUCGGGUUAGGUGGGGAAGUUGUUAAAGGGAGGUAGUGUGUCUAGGGCAAGGAAGUUUGGAGCAACUACA